AGUGAACGCUGGCGGUAGGCCUAACACAUGCGAGUCGAGCGGCAGCACAGUAAGAGCUUGCUCUUACGGGUGGCGAGUGGCGGACGGGUGAGGAAUACAUCGGAAUCUACUUUUUCGUGGGGGAUAACGUAGGGAAACUUACGCUAAUACCGCAUACGACCUACGGGUGAAAGCAGGGGAUCUUCGGACCUUGCGCGAUUGAAUGAGCCGAUGUCGGAUUAGCUAGUUGGCGGGGUAAAGGCCCACCAAGGCGACGAUCCGUAGCUGGUCUGAGAGGAUGAUCAGCCACACUGGAACUGGGACACGGUCCAGACUCCUACGGGAGGCAGCAGUGGGGAAUAUUGGACAAUGGGCGCAAGCCUGAUCCAGCCAUACCGCGUGGGUGAAGAAGGCCUUCGGGUUGUAAAGCCCUUUUGUUGGGAAAGAAAAGCAGCAGGUUAAUACCCCGCUGUUCUGACGGUACCCAAAGAAUAAGCACCGGCUAACUUCGUG
rnacentral:rRNA from 1 species